GGUUUAAUUCGAAGCAACGCGAAGAACCUUACCAGGUCUUGACAUCCCUGACAGCCCGAGAGAUCGGGCGUUCCCCUUCGGGGGACAGGGUGACAGGUGGUGGCAUGGUUGUCGUCAGCUCGUGUCGUGAGAUGUUGGGUUAAGUCCCGCAACGAGCGCAACCCUCGACCUUAGUUGCCAGCAUUCAGUUGGGCACUCUAAGGUGACUGCCGGCUAAAAGUCGGAGGAAGUGGGGAUGACGUCAAAUCAUCAUGCCCCUUAUGACCUGGGCUACACACGUGCUACAAUGGGCGGUACAAAGGGUCGCGAACCCGCGAGGGGGAGCCAAUCCCAAAAAGCCGCUACUCAGUUCGGAUUGCAGGCUGCAACUCGCCUGCAUGAAGCCGGAAUCGCUAGUAAUCGCGGAUCAGCAUGCCGCGGUGAAUACGUUCCCGGGCCUU
rnacentral:rRNA from 1 species